GACGAACGCUGGCGGCGUGCUUAACACAUGCAAGUCGAACGGAGAGGCCCUGCUUUUGUGGGGUGCUCGAGUGGCGAACGGGUGAGUAACACGUGAGUAACCUGCCCUUGACUUUGGGAUAACUUCAGGAAACUGGGGCUAAUACCGGAUAGGAGCUCCUGCUGCAUGGUGGGGGUUGGAAAGUUUCGGCGGUUGGGGAUGGACUCGCGGCUUAUCAGCUUGUUGGUGGGGUAGUGGCUUACCAAGGCUUUGACGGGUAGCCGGCCUGAGAGGGUGACCGGCCACAUUGGGACUGAGAUACGGCCCAGACCCCUACGGGAGGCAGCAGUGGGGAAUAUUGCACAAUGGGCGGAAGCCUGAUGCAGCAACGCCGCGUGCGGGAUGACGGCCUUCGGGUUGUAAACCGCUUUCGCCUGUGACGAAGCGUGAGUGACGGUAAUGGGUAAAGAAGCACCGGCUAACUACGUG
rnacentral:rRNA from 1 species